ensembl:snRNA U2 U2 spliceosomal RNA
AUUGCUUCUCUGCCUUUUGGCUAAGAUCAAGUGUAGUAACAAUAAACUCAUGAAUCCAUUGUUUUGAUCAACAACUCUAC